GGGCAGGGGCAGGGGCAGCAGAGGCUGGGGGAGCUCAGGGCUAAUGGCUACCAGACUGGGGCCCUGACACAAAGGGGCAGAGAAGGUGCUGGGGCGACGGGGAAGUGGCCCAGGGAAGCAGGCAGUAAAGGAGAGCUGGAGGAGGGCAGUAAGUGGCUGCUGCUAGAUGGUCCCUGGGUCGGAGCCCAGAGUAACAGGCAGGCCUGGGCUCCCCUUCUUUCCCCCCCCCACUUGCCAGUGAUGAGUGGCUAAGCCAGGCUGCAGCUGGCCCUUGGGGGAAGGGGCUAGACUGAGGACUGCAGUGAGCCACUGAGGCCAGUGAUAGAACCAGAAGCUGCCGGUCCCCCGGAACGGGGGGGUGGAGCAGGCACAGCUGGAGGGCAGUGUCCGGAAGCAGACCCCGUGGUCCGGGAGUGAUGUGGGUCUGACUGUGAGGACAGCGGAGACCGAGGGAGUCACGGUGGGCGAGACACCACUAGCGAAGGCGUACUGCUGAAAGAGCUAAUUCCCAAACCAGCCAGCAGGAGGUGCUGCCGUGGCAAAUAUCUAGCUGAGCUGACGUGCUCCCUGGAAAACCUCUGCGUACCCCUGGCUGAGAACCACUGCCUCAGUGAGUCCAGCUUCUGGAAGAUACCAUUCCAGCAGUCACCAUGUAAAUUUCAGUCCACACUAGUGAAUUCCAGCUGUUCUACCAACUGGACACACUGCGUUCCCUGCCUCCAAAGUAGACAGACACCAUUCUGCCAGGUG